rnacentral:misc_RNA from 1 species
GCAUGUUUGGUACACCUGAAAGGUACUUUCUUUUUCUCAUCUUUAUUCAUGCCAAGACUUGUAGAUAAUAAUUUCUUUUAUGUUUGUUUCCAUCAAUUGUAGAUAAGAUUUCUGGAUAUAAUAAUAUGGUUGAAAAAGAUGAGAAAGCAUGGAGAAAUUAUGGACUUCUGAAGGGAACUGAAAGAUGUACCAUGAUGCAAUCCUCCCUUGGUUCAUAAACACUAAACAGAGCUCUGAUAUUUCUUCAUCCAUAGAAUUUGUUGCGCUAAUGUUUUAACUGUAUACUAAGUUGCUACUACUUUUCCCAUUGAAUUUUGUCUGCCCUGAACACAUGCUAGUUAAACAUCAAUAUUGUUAAGUAUUUGGUUGCGUUUUGGUUAAUUGUUGGCAAAAUGUUUCUGAAAUUUAUUGCAGUUGUUUUAAAUUUCCAAUCUAUGAGCAAAAUUUCUUUUUAGCUGUUAAUAAGUUAUAAAAAUUUAUUGAAUAUCUUUAUUUUUUUCUGGAAUUAUCGCAAUGGCAUGUUUAAAAAAUUUGGAAACACAAAUGGGUUUGCAUUCUAAUGGGUUGAUAAACUAUAAAAAUUUAUUUUAGAUGGUCUUCUUUUGGAAAUUAUUUCUUUUGAAUUGUUUUGAGCAGGUUUGACAAAUUUGGA